AUCCCAUUUAUAUUGUCUCACAAUAAAAGAUCUGAUCAGUUGCCGGGUCAGAUCAUCUCCAAGUCCCCGUCAUCUGAGCCGUGACCUCUGCCCUGUCUGCUCUGCCGUGCUCCUUCCCCAGUCCUCCCAGAGGCCCCGCGCUCUGCUGAGCCCUUUGGAGCGACGCAGGGUUCUGUGGGAAGGCCAAAGUCCUGGGCACCUGGCGAGGACCUCAGCCCACAGUGGAAACAUCGGUGGGGAGACGGGGGAAGGGGGACGUUGUUGCCAAAAACUAGAGAGCAGCCCUUCUCCUAUUUCUUGUCUCCGCACACACCAAACAGGACAGACGUCAAAGGAACACAUACGCACGCAGGUUAAAUUCGAAUACUUACAUGAAUGUGAGAGGACCUCCUCUCAAGGGACCCCUAGGCCCCAGGAUGUUGUUCUGAGUAGGACAAAGGGGAGAUCUGAGAUUUUCGAUUCUAAAACAGGAGAGGGGAGCCCCCUGAGGUGGGGGAGGGAAGAGAGGGGAGCCCCCUGAGGUGGAGGAAGGGUGAAUAGAGGAGACACAGAAGCCAGAAGGUAGAAGGGCCUGGGUGGUGAGGGGAAGGGCUCCCCACACGAGCUGUCUCAGCUGCUCAGGAAGCCUCACCAGGGAGAAGCACAGAGGAGGGUUGAGACUCACUAUGAGGGGCAGGAGGGGCCCUGAGGCUCCUGGAAAUUGGGGUGACUCGGGCAGGACCAUUUGCUGGGGAGCCCGGAGGAUGUGCCCCCAUGCUUCCGGGGACCGGGAGGUCCACUCGGCAUCCGGAUCACACCUCAACCAAAGGUGGGGUCCUGGUGCCCUUGGCUUGGCAAGGAGGAUAGGACAUCUGCUGCCCCCGCCGGCCCCGCCUGAUUUCUGAUGCACAAGCUCUGGGGUGGGAGUGAGGGCCCUUCCCCAAGAGGGGAAAUCCUGCCCCACCCUGAGACCCCCUGGAUGGCUCUGUUGUUUCCGGAGGGAAAACGAGGGGACUAGUGGGAAACGGGGUUUUCCCAGGCCCUUCCGGGCUUCCUCUUCGAAAACAAACCGCCAGACCUGCACAGCUGCGGCCGGACCCCGAAUAACCUCGCCACAAAGGCUGGCAGGCCUCCCAGUUAAAAAUAAUCUGCAGCCACUUCAUCGGGACAGAGCCAAGGGGCCCCCACCCAGAGAAGGCUUCCCUGCCCCCUGGUGUCUAUAGGGGCCGUUGGAAGUCCGUGAGCCAAACAGCUACCAUAUGUAGGGUUCAUAGUGCUAGGUGUCCCUCUCAGUUAAACCCUGCAACAGCCUUGAGGUGGGUACCAUUAUUAUCAUCUAAGUGAUAAUGACAAAAGAGGAGGCAUAUGUGCAGAGAGGGUAAUCAACCAGCCCAAGGUUACACAGCAGGGGAAUGGCAGAACAGGGACUCAGACUUGGAAAGCCCGGCCAAGUCUUUUGUUCCAGAUGUUGCCUUUUCCUCCUCCAGAGCCAGGAAAGCAGUGAGGGGUUGAACACUGUUCCCCCAUCCCCCCGGGCAAGUUGUCUCUCAGUCUUGUUCUCCUUACCGGAAAAGUCACGUAAGAGGCCGAGGAGGCGGAAGUCUAGGCCCAGAGCCGGCACAGUGCCCCUUCUGUUGUACCCUCCUGGUCAAAGCCAUCACAGGCCCGUCCAGACUCGAGGGAAGAGAGACAGACUACCCGUCUCAAGGCCUCCUGCCCCCUCGUGGAUGAUGCCUCAAGCCCAGGUCUGUGGUGCUGCCUGGGACCGGAUGAACUGGGACCAUCACUCUUCCUCUAGCCUAGAAGCUGCUGCAGCUGCUUGAGGGCAUCAGCUGAGUCUGAUCUGUUCAUGAACGGAUGAGCAGGAGAAAUGAAUGGAUGGGUAAAUGUAUAAAUGAGAGAAAAAUUCAUGAAUUGUUCAGAGCAUCUGCAGCAAAGGAAUUUUCACACCCACUGCCUGCAGAACCUAACCCUUUCUUAAGCUUCUUGGAGCCUGGCUUCAAAUGGAGUCGACUGAGGGCCUGUCCCCCUUUUGAAGCAGUGACCCUAGGGGACCUGUGGCCUUGGUCUAGGCUGUCCUGGGAAGGCUGGGGAUAAGGAUUUUGAUAACUGUGAGGGUUUAUUCUUUCAUCUCCGUUCCGCUGCAGGACCAGCCAGCCAGCUCCAGAGGAAAUCAGCGGCCAAAGGGUCAGCCAGAGGGGACCCUAAGAUGCCCCAAUCCAAACCCCAGGGAGUGGGGGCAUCGUAGGGUCCCCUCUGGCUGUGACGACCCACAGUCAGACUUGCAAGCCGGGUCCAGAACCUGGGUGACUACCGAGCUCCCGUCCUCUCCUUAUGCCACGCUGCCUCCUCAGAAAGGGUUUCUGGGCGGGCACGGAAAUGAGAUGUGUCAUAACAGUGGGUUCUCGGUCCCCAGCUGAGCUCAUAGCUUUGUUAGAGCCAGGCCUGUCUCUCCUGGCACUGGGGCCCACCUGUAGGGACUUGCCCGUUGCUGACCCAGAUUUCCAGGCCACUCUGUCAACACCUCCAGGGCAGGGCAGAGCGUGGCUUCUCAGAGGCCCAAACAGAACCCAUGACCAACAUCGCAGAGACCCAAUGCACCAUGGGAGGACAUCCAC